GCGUGAGUAAAGAAGGCCUUAGGGUUGUAAAACUCUUUCACCUGCGAAGAUGAUGACGGUAGCAGGAGAAGAAGCCCCGGCUAACUCCGUGCCAGCAGCCGCGGUAAUACGGAGGGGGCAAGCGUUGUUCGGAAUUACUGGGCGUAAAGGGCGCGUAGGCGGCUAUAACAGUCAGGCGUGAAAGCCCCGGGCUUAACCUGGGAACUGCGUUUGAUACUGUAUAGCUAGAGAUUGGAAGAGGAGAGUGGAAUUCCAAGUGUAGAGGUGAAAUUCGU
rnacentral:rRNA from 1 species